rnacentral:rRNA from 1 species
AGUUUUGACAAUAGCACGUUGAAUGCGACAGUUCCCAAUAGAUCACUGAAGUUAACCAACGUUGCGCGGGGUUAGUAUCCGGAUGGGUGACCAUCUGGACACCGGCCCACUGGGUGAUGUUA